GUGAACGCUGGCGGUAGGCCUAACACCUGCAAGUCGCACGGCAGCACAGUAAGAGCUUGCUCUUACGGGUGGCGAGUGGCGGACGGGUGAGGAAUACAUCGGAAUCUACUUUUUCGUGGGGGAUAACGUAGGGAAACUUACGCUAAUACCGCAUACGACCUACGGGUGAAAGCAGGGGAUCUUCGGACCUUGCGCGAUUGAAUGAGCCGAUGUCGGAUUAGCUAGUUGGCGGGGUAAAGGCCCACCAAGGCGACGAUCCGUAGCUGGUCUGAGAGGAUGAUCAGCCACACUGGAACUGAGACACGGUCCAGACUCCUACGGGAGGCAGCAGUGGGGAAUAUUGGACAAUGGGCGCAAGCCUGAUCCAGCCAUACCGCGUGGGUGAAGAAGGCCUUCGGGUUGUAAAGCCCUUUUGUUGGGAAAGAAAAGCAGCAGGUUAAUACCCCGCUGUUCUGACGGUACCCAAAGAAUAAGCACCGGCUAACUUCGCG
rnacentral:rRNA from 1 species